rnacentral:rRNA from 1 species
UCAGCGACUGAUACAAGCUUGCUUCUAUGACAUUAGCGGCGGACGGGUGAGUAACACUUGGGAAUCCUGCCUGUAAUGCUGGAUUACCUCCGGAAACCCGGAUUAAUACCCCAUUAACCUUUUCUCAUGCAUAAGACAAAAUUGAGCUCUCGUUUCGGCUAUCACUUACAGAUGGGCCCGCGGUGCAUUAGCUAAUUGGUGACGUAGCGGCUCACCUAGGCCUGGAUGCAUAACCGACCUGACAGGGUGAUCGGCCACAUGGGACUGAAAUCGGCCCAGACUCCUACGGGAGGCUAUUGUAGGGAAUCUUCCGCAAUGGACGAAAGUCUGACGGAGUGCGCCGCGUGAGUGAUGAAGGCUUUCGGGUCGUAAAACUCUGUUGUUACGGAAGAACAAGUACAAGAGUAACUGCUUGUACCUUGACGGUACCUAACCAGAAAGCCACGGCUAACUACGUGCCAGCAACCGCGGUAAUACGUAUGUGGCAAGCGUUAUCCGGAAUUAUUGGGCGUAAAGCGCGCGCAGGCGGUUUCUUAAAUCUGAUGUGAAAACCCACGGCUCAGCCGUGGAGGGUGAUUGGAAACUGGGGAACUUGAGUGCGUAAGAGUCCAGCGGAAUUCCACGUGUAGCGAUGAAAUGCGUAGAGAUGUGAAGGAACACCAGUGCCUCAGGCGUCUUUCUGAUCUGUAAGUGACGCUGAGGGGGCGAACGCGUGGGAAGCAAACCCGAUUAAAUACCCUGCUUAUACAAUCUGUACACGAUGAUUGCUACCUGUUAGAGUUUUUCAGCCCUUUAAUGCUGC